UACGAAGGGGGCUAGCGUUGUUCGGAAUCACUGGGCGUAAAGCGCACGUAGGCGGAUUGCUAAGUCAGGGGUGAAAUCCUGGAGCUCAACUCCAGAACUGCCCUUGAUACUGGCGGUCUCGAGUCCGGGAGAGGUGAGUGGAACUGCGAGUGUAGAGGUGAAAUUCGUAGAUAUUCGCAAGAACACCAGUGGCGAAGGCGGCUCACUGGCCCGGUACUGACGCUGAGGCGGCGAAAGCGUGGGGAGCAAACAGG
rnacentral:rRNA from 1 species